AACGCUCUUCAUUGUGCUCUUAAUUCAAACGAGUUCAAUUGGAUUUCUACGUGCAAAAUUGUAAAAAAAUGGGAACAAAUUAGCUAUUGUUCAUAAGAGGACAAACCAAGUAAAAGAAUCCAAUUCGACCUUCCGCAUUUUUGAACAAGACUCGAUUCAACCAAACUUCCAGCCAUAAGGCAGGAUGCUGGCCUCGUUAUGCCAACAAUUGCAUAUUAUUUGUUCCGAAUAAAAUAAAUCAGAAGAAUACUCUAACACAUCACA
rnacentral:lncRNA from 1 species